CCUGGCAGCGCCCAGGCCCCUGAAGCGGCUUCCCCGCGGGCUGUUGGGGGUCGCCCGGGCGGUCGGGAGCGGGGGGACCCGGGGGCUACCGUUGAGGACCUGUUGGGGUCGUGCCCGUUGGGGUCAUGUUUUGGGGUCUGCGGGAGCCAGAAAAUGCGUGCAGACACCCACCUGGCUUUUUGGGGGAGAGAGGGAGGAGCCAAAGUGUCUGUGGGAUAUUUAAAGUCUUCAGUAAAGAUCUUCAGUGAGUUACCUACUAUGGGAGUCAGGAUAUCAGCAGCCUCCAAAGUCUGUAAAGGCUGGCAUGGGACAGAGCACCGUCGAGGAAGCCGUGUCAGGAACACUCACCUCUUGACACCACUGCUAAUAGGUGGUUAUUACAGCCCAUUGUGCUGAGAGCGGAGGUCUGGCUCUGACAGCUGCUCCAGUGACAAAGUGGUUUUACCUCACCUAAAAAUCGGUUCAGGAGCACAUCUGUUGUGACAUUUGUCCCUAUGCAGAGAGUCAGUGAAGACAACUGAAGCCCUUACAUCACAUUUUUGUGGUCUAUAAGGCUCAUUAAAUAUUAAGCCGUUUGUAUGGAUUUCAAUUUGAACCAGACUCCAAGAGUAGUGAAUGAAAAUAUAAAUCUUUAUCCACUCUUUUUUUUUCUCUUUUUUUCCCCCCAUAAUCAAUUCAAGAGUAGGAAAGCUCUGUUGCUUAUUAUGUUCUCUCCUCAGCAACAGUGGAUUCCCUUUUUUCUCCAUUGCUUUUUAUUGGUUAAUGUAAAUUCUGAAAAAAAAUCUUCAUUCUUCACCUUCAGUUUACUUGUAGAAAGAAAUAAGCUUAAUGUUACUGUGGCAAAUUUCCUCUUUCAGUAAUGUAAAUGUUUCAAUGAUACAAAAUUCCAUCUUACUGUGAUAGAUUUCAUAAGCUUUUUAUUUCUAAUCAAAAUCAUGAGCUAUGAGGGUGCUCAUACCUGGAUAGUAGCAUUGUAUUCAAAUACAAGAAAUACAAUUCUGAAUUUUCUUAAUGCAGAAAGAAAUAAAGUAACUGUUGUUGUGUCAGCAGGCUGGAGGUGGAAUCACGUCCUUACUGUUGGAAGGAAGAAUCUUGGAAAUCGUUCUUAGGGAGGUGGUCAUCCUGCCUGCAGGUAUUCCCAUUCCAUGUGUUCAGGCAAGACAGCACUAAUUUGCAAGUCUGGCUUAUUGUGACUUGUCUUAGACUUGGUGAGAAGGAUUUUAUAGCUGCCCUUAAGAAGAACAGUUAAUAAAAAUAUGAACAUUUGUGCAGUCUUAGUAAUACAUUCUUGAAGAAUAUAGAUCUAUCUUAAAGGAUAUAGAUAUAUCUCAAAGAAUAUAGAUACAUCUUAAAGAAUACAGCUGUUGUGCAAUGUUUUGUAAUCUAGAAUUCUUUGGCUUGUUUUACAACUUGCUCACUGAGAUGCUCUCACAUUUUUAGAAAAAUGGUGCAAGCAUUACAUUCCUGAGAUAAUACCUUGUUGAUAGAAUCACUGUCAUCAAUACCCAGCCAUUGUAUUAAAGAAUACUUUUGUUUCAAAUCUAGACAACCAAAGAGUUUUUAUUUUUUAAGAAGCAUUGCCUAAUAGUUUCCAUGCAGGAAAGUCUCAGCCCAUCAUCAUCUCUUUUUUUUCCCCUAUUUUUUUUUUUAUUCAUCAGUACUUGAAUAAUCUGGUAUUCUUAAACCCCUAAGGCAAACUCUUUGACUUCCUCUGUCUGGCAGAUGGGUUUUAGCCAUGGAUUGUUUCUUAAAAUGUUUAUGCUGUCACACAUCUCAUAUUUGUCUCAGCUGGAAAAACAUUUUUACAGAAAAUCCUGUUUGCUGGUUGUCUCAAGGGUUUCAAAAGUGCUUGUGCCUUUCAUUUGGUCCAAAAAAAAUUUACAUGCAGGUAUUUUAUAUGGCUUUGGGGAACAUCAAAGCUGAAGCUUAGCAAGUCAAGCCUCUUUUAUGAAUGGUGCUUUCUUGUAUGGAUAGGAAGCUUGUUCCAUUAGAAUAGUCCAGAACCCUAAACAUAAAGACACCUCACUUCCAAGAAUUUUGCAUGGGUUUCUCUCCUGAUGAACUUUUUAAUCAUAUUCUGAAUUUUAUUUGCAGCUUAUCCUAAAUUCCUGUUCUUGACACAUUUGAGGGUUUGUGAGUUUUUGGUAUUUUUUUUAAGAUUUCUAAAUGAGCUUUAUCUACUCCCAGCAUCGAAUAUUACUGGGUUUGGGAGUCAGUGUUUGUUUCUAUUGUGUAACACUGAUAGGGCCACUAGUGAGUCAUUGAGGAAAAACCACCAAACAUCCCAGUGAGGAAAAUGUAUUAAAAAUUGUGAAGGUCCAUCAACUCUAUAAUGCUUAUGAUCUGAAAUGUACUUUGCAUUAGAACUUGUUCUGCCUGUAUUAAUUAUGCACAGUACUAGACACAAACAGGAUGCUUUCUAGCAUGAAAGCUGGGCCUAAAAUAACAGAAAAAGAGGACUAGGAUUCAAGGGGCGUGGGCUGAAACAGAUCAUGAGUGGAAGUUUUGCAUGAAGCUUGAGAGCAUUUUUCUAUCUCAGGAAAAUGAAAGAACUUGAUGUAAAGCAACUCUCAAAGGAGAGUUUGCUGAUUAAGGCCAGACUGUUCCCACCCUGAGAAGUAGCCACAGUCUGAAUUUCCCUCUGCUGGCUCACUCCAUCUUGGACUCUCUAGUCUCACCAAGGCCUGGGAAUUUGAAAUUCCUAACUCAUCUUACAGUGGGAGCUGCAGCUGGGCUGCAAACUAUACAGGAGCUGCAUGCACGUGGCAGCAGUUGAUGUAUGGGGGGGCCCCACAGUCCCUUCCUCCUCCCUGCCCGAAGAAGCCCUAAAUAACUCCCAGUGUUGCAGGGCUGGCACCCCCUGGCACACAGGGCCAGCCAAGUGACAACUGUACUCCUCACAACAUGCAGUGUUGGAAGGGUUACACCAGGUGCUCCCGUGGAGUCACCAGUGAGCGUCUGCAAUGCAAUUGCAUAUCUCCACAUGAGCUGGCUCAGAUCUUCCUGCUGGCUAGUCAGCAGAGCACAAAGCUGGGCUUAAUAAAUAUGGAUCCAUCAAUUUAGGCAGGAGCAGGAACUGGCAACUAAUGAUUUGGACUUUCAGUGGCCUGUGAGCUGUUUGUGCAGCUGUUUGUGAAGCCACGUUGUAAAUCAGAUUACUCAAUCCAGAUUUUUAAAGUUCUGUCUAAUCUAAUAAUUUUUAACCAGAAUUACUCCACUGAUUGAAUUCACACUCUGGUCCCACAAACAGUUGCAUUGGCACAAUUGCAGCACUGGUAGACUGUGACACACAGAUGGUAUGGAAAGAAGGAAGGGAGGCUGCUGGAUGGUUAUUUUGUCCAUGGGGACAAUAUUCCUGCAUAAUUCUGAUGCUGUUCUGAACCACAGACUCUGCAUCAAUUUCCCUUUCUGAUCCCUUCUCCAACUGUCCCUAUAGUCAGACUGAAAUGCCUGUUAAUGUCUCAUCUGUGCAAUACCAGAUCAUCUA